rnacentral:rRNA from 1 species
UGCAAGUCGAGCGUACCUUCGGGUGAGCGGCGGACGGGUUAGUAACGCGUGGGAACGUACCCUUUUCUACGGAAUAGCCUUUGGAAACGAAGAGUAAUACCGUAUACGCCCUUUGGGGGAAAGAUUUAUCGGAGAAGGAUCGGCCCGCGUUAGAUUAGAUAGUUGGUGGGGUAACGGCCUACCAAGUCUACGAUCUAUAGCUGGUUUUAGAGGAUGAUCAGCAACACUGGGACUGAGACACGGCCCAGACUCCUACGGGAGGCAGCAGUGGGGAAUCUUAGACAAUGGGCGCAAGCCUGAUCUAGCCAUGCCGCGUGAGUGAUGAAGGCCUUAGGGUCGUAAAGCUCUUUCGCCUGUGAUGAUAAUGACAGUAGCAGGUAAAGAAACCCCGGCUAACUCCGUGCCAGCAGCCGCGGUAAUACGGAGGGGGUUAGCGUUGUUCGGAAUUACUGGGCGUAAAGCGCACGUAGGCGGAAUGGAAAGUUGGGGGUGAAAUCCCGGGGCUCAACCCCGGAACUGCCUCCAAAACUAUCAGUCUAGAGUUCGAGAGAGGUGAGUGGAAUUCCAAGUGUAGAGGUGAAAUUCGUAGAUAUUUGGAGGAACACCAGUGGCGAAGGCGGCUCACUGGCUCGAUACUGACGCUGAGGUGCGAAAGUGUGGGGAGCAAACAGGAUUAGAUACCCUGGUAGUCCACACCGUAAACGAUGAAUGCCAGUCGUCGGGCAGUAUACUGUUCGGUGACACACCUAACGGAUUAAGCAUUCCGCCUGGGGAGUACG